AAUCGACANNNCACGCUACACCUCACCCCCCCUAGCCGACCAGCCUAUAUACCGCCGUCGCCAGCUCACGCUGUGAGCCCAUAACCGUAAACGUAAUCAUCACCCAUUAAAACGACAGGUCAAGGUGUAGUUAAUGGGGGGGGCAGUGAUGGGCUACAUUUUCUUCACUAGAAAAUACCACCCGCACCAUGAAACCUUUGCCCNNNGGCGGAUUUAGAAGUAAGCCCUGACAANACAUGUCAACCUGAAAUAUGCCCUGGGACA
rnacentral:rRNA from 1 species